rnacentral:rRNA from 1 species
UACAGAGGUCCCAAGCGUUGUUCGGAUUCACUGGGCGUAAAGGGUGCGUAGGUGGCGCCGUAAGUCGGGUGUGAAAUUUCGGAGCUUAACUCCGAAACCGCAUUCGAUACUGCGGUGCUUGAGGACUGGAGAGGAGACUGGAAUUCAUGGUGUAGCAGUGAAAUGCGUAGAGAUCAGGAGGAACACCGAUGGCGAAGGCAGGUCACUGGGCCGCAACUGACGCUGAGGAGCGAAAGCAUGGGGAGCGAUCCGG